rnacentral:rRNA from 1 species
GACGAAUGCUGGCGGCGUGCUUAACACAUGCAAGUCGAACGGAAAGGCCCUGCUUUUGUGGGGUGCUCGAGUGGCGAACGGGUGAGUAACACGUGAGUAACCUGCCCUUGACUUUGGGAUAACUUCAGAAAACUGGGGCUAAUACCGGAUAGGAGCUCCUGCUGCAUGGUGGGGGUUGGAAAGUUUCGGCGGUUGGGGAUGGACUCGCGGCUUAUCAGCUUGUUGGUGGGGUAGUGGCUUACCAAGGCUUUGACGGGUAGCCGGCCUGAGAGGGUGACCGGCCACAUUGGGACUGAGAUACGGCCCAGACUCCUACGGGAGGCAGCAGUGGGGAAUAUUGCACAAUGGGCGGAAGCCUGAUGCAGCAACGCCGCGUGCGGGAUGACGGCCUUCGGGUUGUAAACCGCUUUCGCCUGUGACGAAGCGUGAGUGACGGUAAUGGGUAAAGAAGCACCGGCUAACUACGUG